rnacentral:rRNA from 1 species
UGGGGAUAUUGCACAAUGGAGGAAACUCUGAUGCAGCAACGCCGCGUGAAGGAUGAAGGUCUUCGGAUUGUAAACUUUUGUACUUGGGGACGAUAAUGACGGUACCCAAGCAGNAAGCUCCGGCUAACUACGUGCCAGCAGCCGCGGUAAUACGUAGGGAGCAAGCGUUGUCCGGAUUUACUGGGUGUAAAGGGUGCGUAGGCGGCUAUGCAAGUCAGUUGUGAAAACUAUGGGCUCAACCCAUAGCCUGCAAUUGAAACUGCGUGGCUUGAGUGAAGUAGAGGUAGGUGGAAUUCCCGGUGUAGCGGUGAAAUGCGUAGAGAUCGGGAGGAACACCAGUGGCGAAGGCGACCUACUGGGCUUUAACUGACGCUGAGGCACGAAAGCAUGGUAGCAAACAGGAUUAGAUACCCUGGUAGUCCAUGCCG